CCCCCGAUAGCUCAGUUGGAAGAGCGCGAGACUGUAAUGGAUAAGAAACAAGUCGAUCUUGAGGUCGCUGGUUCGAUCCCGGCUCGGGGGA
rnacentral:tRNA from 3 species